CCUACGGGUGGCAGCAGUGGGGAAUAUUGGACAAUGGGCGAAAGCCUGAUCCAGCCAUGCCGCGUGUGUGAAGAAGGCCUUCGGGUUGUAAAGCACUUUCAGUGGGGAAGAAAGCCUUGGGGCUAAUACCCUCGAGGAAGGACAUCACCCACAGAAGAAGCACCGGCUAACUCCGUGCCAGCAGCCGCGGUAAUACGGAGGGUGCGAGUGUUAAUCGGAAUUACUGGGCGUAAAGCGCGCGUAGGCGGUCUGAUAAGCCGGUUGUGAAAGCCCCGGGCUCAACCUGGGAACGGCAUCCGGAACUGUCAGGCUAGAGUGCAGGAGAGGAAGGUAGAAUUCCCGGUGUAGCGGUGAAAUGCGUAGAGAUCGGGAGGAAUACCAGUGGCGAAGGCGGCCUUCUGGACUGACACUGACGCUGAGGUGCGAAAGCGUGGGUAGCAAACAGGAUUAGAUACCCCAGUAGUC
rnacentral:rRNA from 1 species